rnacentral:rRNA from 1 species
UACGUAGGGCGCAAGCGUUGUCCGGAAUCAUUGGGCGUAAAGCGCGUGUAGGCGGUUCCGUAAGUCCGCUCUGAAAGCCCAGGGCUCAACCCUGGGAGGCGGGUGGAUACUACGGAACUGGAGUACGGAAGAGGAGACUGGAAUUCCUGGUGUAGCGGUGAAAUGCGCAGAUAUCAGGAGGAACACCGGUGGCGAAGGCGGGUCUCUGGGCCGAUACUGACGCUGAGGAGCGAAAGCGUGGGGAGCAAACAGG